CCUACGGGAGGCUGCAGUGGGGGAUAUUGCACAAUGGGGGGAACCCUGAUGCAGCGACGCCGCGUGGGUGAAGAAGCGCCUCGGCGCGUAAAGCCCUGUCAGCAGGGAAGAAAAUGACGGUACCUGAAGAAGAAGCCCCGGCUAACUACGUGCCAGCAGCCGCGGUAAUACGUAGGGGGCAAGCGUUAUCCGGAUUUACUGGGUGUAAAGGGGGCGCAGACGGCGAUGCAAGCCAGGAGUGAAAGCCCGGGGCCCAACCCCGGGACUGCUCUUGGAACUGCGUGGCUGGAGUGCAGGAGGGGCAGGCGGAAUUCCUGGUGUAGCGGUGAAAUGCGUAGAUAUCGGGAGGAACCCCGAUUGCGAAGGCAGCAUACCGGUGCACAACUGACGCUCAGGCACGAAAGCGUGGGUAUCGAACAGGAUUAGAUACCCCAGUAGUC
rnacentral:rRNA from 1 species